CGGUGGCAGCACAGCGCAGCAGCUGAACUCAGUUCAUGUUUUCCUUCGAGUAAACAUGAACGUUUUUCCAUCCUAAACUUUAUUUAGUUUCCUAUGAUUCAGGAAAACAUUAAGGAAACAACAGAAAACCCAGAAGCUGCUGAUGAAGACAGGAAGGUUCCUGUUGAAAGUCUCUUCAGCCUUCAGGCUGUGUCAACCUGAUGAGAAGCAGGACAUGAAGUGGAAACAUUUUAUUCCUGCUGAUGUCAGCGAAGCGAGCGUCUGUCCAGAGAAGAUCUCAGACGGUUUCUGGAAACAACAAACGCUGAACAAAGAUGGAGGAGUGAAGGUUUGGUGAACUGAAGCUGCCCUGUGAUUGGCUGAGUGAACCUGUUAUUGGCAGCUGAAGCCAGCGGCCCCCUGGGCGCUGCGCUGUGAUUGGUGGCUCGUUUUACUUUUUGUUUCUCUUUUUGUUUCUUUAUGAUAAUUUUGCAGUGAUUUUAGCUGCUUUGUGUCAUCAGCUCCACCUCCGCUCUCUGUCUAAUCAACCAAAGUUUCUUAUUUGAAACUGUUUUCAUUCCAGAGAUGAAUGAAAACCAAAUGCAGAGAAACCAUGAAACCGGUCCGUGCUACUCUGCAGUCUGUGCAGGCUUUCUCUUGUCCUGGUCCAGUACUGCUCCAGCUGUUGCCACGGUAACUGGACUCUUGGCUCGGCGAUGACCCCUUGAGGCUUGGCCGCAGUUCAGCGGCUCCCUGUUGGACCUGGAGCCCCAGCAGCCGGCCGUCCCGCUCUGGCGGCUCUUCAGGCGGCGUUCGUCUGCAGGGCCUGACGCGCCUCAGGAACCUAAAGAGUCUCUGGUAACACUUUAUUUGAAGGGGGGUGAAUAAGACUGUCAUGACACCGUCAUAAACAUG